UGUUAUACUUAGAAGUGAACAACCUUAAGCACCAGAGAACUACGAACCUAAAGUUUAAAACUCAAAGGACUUGGCGGUUUUCCAAACCUCCCUGGAGGAGCUUGCCAUCGAAUCGAUAACCCACGAAACACCUCACCAACUUUUGUAACAACAGCUUGUAUACCAUCGUCGUAAGUCUACUUCUUGAGAAAGUUGACUUUAAGAGAGAACCCUAGACGUCAGAUCAAGGUGCAGCCUAUAAGUUGGGAAUAGGUGAGCUACAAUGUUUGAACAAACCAGUGAAAGAAGGAAUGAAAUAUCCCUCAGAAAUUGGAUUCAGCAAUAAGCCCCAUAAAGAAAAUGGAGCUGAAAAGAGCUCUGGAAUGCGUACACAUCGCCCGUCACUCUCGCCUAGUUAAGAUUACACAAGGGGAGAAAAGUCGUAACACAAUAGGCACACCGGAAGGUGUGCCUGGAAAAU
rnacentral:rRNA from 1 species